AACUGCGAGUGAAGAGGGAAGAGCUCAUCAUUGGAAUCUGGCAGUGUUGCACUGUCCGAGUUGUAGAUGAGGAGUAGUCCGUCUGGACUGCAUGGCGUCCAAGUACAAUAGGCCGUCAGUGGGACAUCAUAGAGGGUGACAAUCCCGUCCUUGACGCCAAUGUGCAAGUCUAUUACGAUGGCUAUCUCAGAGAGUCGAGCAGUUUGGGAUUUGCUGCUUAAACAUGGGAGGUAGAUUCCUUCUAAAGCUAAAUACAGGCGAGAGACCGAUAGAGAACAAGUACCGCAAGGGAAAGAUGAAAUAGCACUCUGUGAAGGGAGUCAAAAGGCGUGAAAUUGUUGCGAGAGAAGCGAUUCAAGUCAGCGUAGCUAGGCCCAUCAAGCGUCUUCGCUUUGGACUAGCUUUGCCAGCGGUCUUGUCCCUUGAAGAGACUUGACUUGUAAUAUGUCCAGCCUGGCGUGCACAGGCAGCCCCUUCUGGGGGCCAGUGGCAUGGCUGGUGGAAUGGCUUGCAAUCGACCCGUCUUGAAACACGGACCAAGGAGUCUAACAUGUAUGCGAGUAUAAGGGUGGCAAACCCGUAUGCGCAAUGAAAGUGAUUUUCGGUGAUUGAGAAUGGCCUGAUGACCAGACAAGCAAUAUAUGUCCCUCGUACGGCCAUUGCCCAAGUUCCGUGGUAGAUCCCACGAACAUGGAGUUGGAGCAUACAUGCUAGGACCCGAAAGAUGGUGAACUAUGCCUGGACAAAGCGAAGCCAAAGGAAACUCUGGUGGAGGCUUGUAGCGAUUCUGACGUGCAAAUCGAUCGUCUGAUCUGGGUAUAGGGGCGAAAGACUAAUCG
rnacentral:rRNA from 1 species